AGCGAACGCUGGCGGCAGGCUUAACACAUGCAAGUCGAACGGGUGCAGCAAUGCAUCAGUGGCAGACGGGUGAGUAACACGUGGGAACCUUCCUAGGGGUACGGAACAACUCAGGGAAACUUGAGCUAAUACCGUAUACGUCCGUGAGGAGAAAGAUUUAUCGCCCUUAGACGGGCCCGCGUCGGAUUAGCUAGUUGGUGGGGUAACGGCCUACCAAGGCGACGAUCCGUAGCUGAUCUUAGAGGAUGAUCAGCCACACUGGGACUGAGACACGGCCCAGACUCCUACGGGAGGCAGCAGUGGGGAAUCUUGGACAAUGGGCGCAAGCCUGAUCCAGCCAUGCCGCGUGAGUGAAGAAGGUCUUCGGAUUGUAAAGCUCUUUUGCCAGGGACGAUAAUGACGGUACCUGGAGAAUAAGCCCCGGCAAACUUCGUGCCAGCCGCCGCCGUAAUAC
rnacentral:rRNA from 1 species